rnacentral:rRNA from 1 species
UACGGAGGGAGCUAGCGUUAUUCGGAAUUACUGGGCGUAAAGCGCACGUAGGCGGCUUUGUAGAUAAGAGGUGAAAGCCCAGAGCUCAACUCUGGAAUUGCCUUUUAGACUGCAUCGCUUGAAUCAUGGAGAGGUCAGUGGAAUUCCGAGUGUAGAGGUGAAAUUCGUAGAUAUUCGCAAGAACACCAGUGGCGAAGGCGGCUCACUGGCCCGGUACUGACGCUGAGGUGCGAAAGCGUGGGGGAGCAAACAGGG